CCCCAAACACACCCACCAACAGUUCCCAGAAGCCAUGACAUGUCCCUGCAGCUGGGGGCCUCCCAGGGUCGCUCUGGAGUCCCUCUGGGUCCUGCCUUGCCUGGGAAGGAAAGAAGGAAGUGUGAGUCCGGGGAGACCCUUCAGCUGAGCCCACAAGGCACCAUCAGCUUCUCACCUCUGGGGCCUUCUCCUCUCUGCAGUGUCCACCUUCAGAGGCUCUCCCUGGUCCUCCUUGUCCUAGAGGAGAUUGGAUGACAAGUCAAGGAAGGAGCCCAAAGACUCACAGGGGAGGAAGCCAUCUGAGUUUUUCGGUGCAGAACCCAUUGGCUCCGGUGGUGAGGAGAGACAUAAUUUCACCUCCAGCAGUGCUCCUGAGUCCAGGAAUUGCCACCCCCACCCCAAAGAUCCUCCUCUGGCCAUCAUAAAGGGGUGAAUAGUGCCUGGCACCAGUAAUUUUCCCUGCCCCCUUACCGCCAAACACUCAACUGGAAAUGGCAAAUAUGGACCCCAUGUGACACCCUAACUUUGUCCCCUGCCAGAGGCCUCAGCUUCCUCCCCUACUUCUGAGCUCACCCUAACAGCCCGUCCUGCUAUCCAGUGGGUGAGGUCAGAGGGAUGGUUUUUCACCCAUAUGAACUCAGAAGGGGCACCCAACUUCCUCACUCCCUGGGCCCUAGUUAACUUUCCAACCAGGCCAA